GAUAAUUAUUAUUUUAGAUCGCUCCAAACUAUGAAAUUAAUUGACCAUAUGUAUAUAUUUUAAUCAUUCUGCGUAUUGCUAUGCAUCACCGAUUUUGGAUAUGCUGUAUACACAAAUAGAUACUUCUGGAUGCUCUAAAUAAUCAUUUACCUGGGAGAACAAUGAACAGAUACAGUAACAAAGUAUUUAUGAGCAAAUAAUAAAAAUUACCUUCAUCCAUCUGCAAUCAGAAAUUUCUUUUUCACAUUUUUUAAUAUUGAUAUCAAUAGGUGAUAAAUAGGCAAUCAUGUAUAUGUCAGAACAACCAAAGGCGUAACCAUGAACGUGUCUGAAACCUAUUAUACACCUAAAGGUAGUUUGAACACCAGUCUCUUCUAAAACUUCUCUUUUUACAGCUUCUUCUAAAUCUU